AUAAAGACUGGGAACGGGAAGAGUAGGCGGUCAGCCCUUCAGAGAGCGGAAUUGUAGUUGCUGUGAAUUUCCGCAGGAUGCAGCCCCCGAAGUCGCCCCGGAGUCGCCCUUCUGAGCUUGCCUCCACAUUUAUGGAGACCAGGUUAGGAUGUGGCCGGACGCAGCCGUUAUCUGCAUGAGUGUCGCGCUAAGCUUCCGGACCUGUAAAAGGGCCCUGAGGCAGGGGGUUAUUUUUGAAAUACAAGAAAGUAUAGGUUUUACAUUAUACAUUAUCCUUGUAUUUCCUCUGAAACGGAUACCGUCCCAUGAAGGACGGCGCAGCCGUUUACACCUGAUUAGCGCGAAACAAAGGUGGUACCGCGAAAGAAUGGCCUUUCGUCCUUUGA
rnacentral:ncRNA from 1 species